CGAGCCACACGAACGUUAUUCGGAAUUACUGGGCUUAAAGGGUGCGUAGGCUGCGCGGAAAGUUGGGUGUGAAAUCCCUCGGCUCAACCGAGGAACUGCGCCCAAAACUACCGUGCUCGAGGAAGAUAGAGGUAAGCGGAACUUACGGUGGAGCGGUGAAAUGCGUUGAUAUCGUAAGGAACACCUGUGGCGAAAGCGGCUUACUGGGUCUUUUCUGACGCUGAUGCACGAAAGCUAGGGGAGCAAACGGGAUUAGAUACCCCGGUAGUCCUAGCCGUAAACUCUCAGCACUGAAUUGAAGGGACUCCCAUAUCCCUUCAGUUGAAGCGAAAGUGUUAAGUGCUGCGCCUGGGGAGUAUGGUCGCAAGGCUG
rnacentral:rRNA from 1 species